CGCUCGGGUCCCCUUCCACACUGUGGAAGCUUUGUUCUUUUGCUCUUUGCAAUAAAUCUUGCUACUGCUCACUCUUUGGGUCCACGCUGCUUUUAUGAGCGGUAACACUCACUGCGAAGGUCUGCAGCUUGACUCCUGAGCCAGCGAGACCACGAACCCACCAGAAGGAAGAAACUCCGAACACAUCUGAACAUCAGAAGGGACAGACUCCAGAUGCGCCACCUUAAGAGCUGUAACACUCACCGCGAGGGUCCGCGGCUUCAUUCUUGAAGUCAGUGAGACCAAUAACCCACCAAUUCCGGACAUAAUUGUGUAGAAAUGAGAGAGAUGUAAAUAGCUACCAAAGGAGAAUUGACAAGUCUGAGCAGAAGAAGCACAGAUAUCAAAAGGCAAAGGAGGAGGAAGACUUGGAAAAACAAAAGGUAGCGACUAAGUUGUCUGAGUCUGAUCUGACAUGAACAAAACAAACCAAGCUGUAAUCCCAAGCCAUCUCUAAGUAUGUUCAUUCUGGAGUCCAGACAUUCUGAAAACCAAAUGGAAGAAAAGGAGCCAAGGUGACUAAGAAGGAUCAGCCAGAAAGGAAUGAGGAAAAGCAGGAGUGCCCAGAACCUCAAAAGCUGAGAGAAAGUGAACUUCAAAGAACAGAAGUGCAUCUGGGUAGAUAUCCUAAAGACUUGAAAUCAGUAUGUGGAAGAGGCAUCUGCAUUGCUAUGUUCAUUGCAGCAUUAUUCACAAUAACCCAGAUGUUGAAUCAACCUAAGUGUCUAUCCAUAGAUGAAUGA
rnacentral:lncRNA from 1 species